UGUUCUUGUCUAGCCAAAAGCAUUUGAAAGAGAGAGAAUUGAGAGAACGAGAGAGAGGCUGAACCCUAAAUUUCUCUCUGACUGAAAGCAGAGUUUUUGGAUUUUGAUUAUCAAGAUCCUAAGAAAAGAUAUACAAGAAUUCAAUCCUUCAAUACAAAGGUUUUGUUGACGAGUUCUGCUUGAAUAAAUCUUGCGAAGAUGAUGUCUAGGUCGUAUACCAAUUUAUUGGAUCUAGCCUCUGGGAAUUUCCCAGUGAUGGGGCACGAAAGGAGGCGCCUUCCUCGUGUAAUGACUGUUCCAGGGGUCAUUUCUGAGCUUGAUGAUGAUCGAGCUAAUAGUGUUUCAUCGGAGGCUCCAUCGUCUGUUGUUGCCGAUCGAGUAAUUAUUGUUGCAAAUCAGCUUCCAGUGAAAGCUAAGCGUAGGCCAGAUAACAAAGGGUGGAGUUUUAGCUGGGACGAGGAUUCAUUGUUGUUGCACAUUAAAGAUGGUUUCCCUGACGAUAUGGAGGUUAUUUAUGUGGGGUCACUGAGGGUUGAGGUUGAUUCAAGUGAACAAGACGAUGUUGCGCAGUUACUGUUGGACAGGUUUAAAUGUGUUCCGGCUUUUCUCCCACCAGACAUUCUGUCCAAGUAUUAUCAUGGGUUUUGCAAGCAGCAUUUGUGGCCACUAUUCCAUUAUAUGCUUCCGUAUUCAGCAAGCCAUGGAGGUCGCUAUGAUCGGUCAUGGUGGGAAGCAUAUGUUGCUGCAAAUAAUAUUUUCUCACAGAAGGUGAUUGAAGUAAUAAAUCCAGAUGACGAUUAUGUAUGGAUUCACGAUUAUCAUUUAAUGGUUUUGCCUACCUUCUUGAGGAGGCGCUUCAACCGGUUAAGAAUGGGAUUUUUCCUUCACAGUCCUUUUCCUUCAUCGGAGAUAUACAGGACUCUACCAGUGAGACAAGAGAUUCUGAAGGCAUUACUGAAUUCUGACCUAAUUGGUUUCCACACUUUUGAUUAUGCAAGGCAUUUCCUCUCUUGUUGUAGCCGUAUUCUGGGUUUAGAGUAUCAGUCGAAGAGGGGUUAUAUUGGGGUAGAAUACCAUGGGAGGACAGUUGGAAUAAAAAUCAUGCCUGUUGGAAUUCACAUGGGACAGAUUGAAUCUGUGCUUAAGCAUGCUGAUAAAGACUGGAUAGUUGGAGAGCUGCAGCAACAGUUUGAAGGAAAAACAGUGCUACUUGGUGUUGAUGACACAGAUAUAUUCAAAGGUGUGGAUUUAAAACUUUUGGCAAUGGAACAAAUGUUGAAGCAGCAUCCAAAGUGGCAAGGAAGGGCAGUGUUAGUACAAAUUGCAAAUCCAGCCCGAGGAAAGGGAAAGGAUCUUGAAGAGAUACAAGCAGAAAUAGAAGCAAGCUGCAACAGGAUCAACGAGACCUUUAGGCAGCCUGGUUACGAACCCAUUGUUUUUAUCAAUAGACCAGUGUCUCUUAGCGAACGUGCUGCAUAUUACACUAUUGCAGAAUGUGUUGUCGUUACGGCUGUAAGGGAUGGAAUGAACCUUACGCCGUAUGAAUACAUUGUGAGCAGGCAGGGAAUCCCUGGAAGUGAAUCUAGUUCAGAUUCAAAUGCUCCAAAGAAGAGCAUGCUUGUUGUAUCUGAGUUUAUUGGCUGCUCCCCUUCACUUAGUGGAGCUAUCCGAGUCAACCCGUGGAACAUUGAAACAACUGCAGAAGCAUUGAAUGAGGCAAUUUCAAUGGCUGAUACUGAGAAGCAGUUGCGACAUGAGAAGCACUACAAGUAUGUUAGCACGCAUGAUGUAGCAUAUUGGGCUAGAAGCUUCUUCCAGGAUUUAGAGAGAACUUGCAAAGACCAUUUUAGGCGACGCUGCUGGGGAAUUGGUUUGGGUUUUGGUUUUAGGGUUGUUGCUCUUGAUCCUAAUUUCAGAAAGCUGUCCAUUGAUGCCAUCGUCUCUGCUUAUUCAAAGGCCAAAAAUCGGGCAAUACUUUUAGAUUAUGAUGGUACUGUCAUGCCUCAAGCAUCCAUAAAUAAGGUUCCUAGCGGGGAAGUGAUCUCAAUUAUCAAUAGACUUUGUGAUGAUGUAAAAAACACAGUAUUUGUUGUCAGUGGACGAGGAAAGGAUAGUUUAGGCAACUGGUUUUCUCCAUGUAAGAAACUGGGUAUUGCUGCCGAACAUGGAUACUUUCUAAGGCGGAAUGCGGAUGAGAAAUGGGAAACUUGUGGACAGAGCACUGAUUUUGGAUGGAUGCACAUGGCAGAGCCUGUAAUGAAAUUAUAUACAGAAGCUACUGAUGGUUCCUAUAUUGAAGUAAAAGAGAGUGCACUUGUUUGGCAUCAUCAAGAUGCGGAUUCUGGUUUUGGAUCCAGUCAAGCAAAGGAAAUGUUAGACCACCUGGAAAGCGUGCUAGCUAAUGAACCUGUUACUGCUAAAAGUGGUCAAUUCAUUGUUGAAGUGAAACCCCAGGGCGUUAGUAAAGGUCUAGUUGCAGAGAAGAUCUUUACGUCGAUGGCUGAAAAUGGGCGGCAGGCAGAUUUUGUCCUUUGCAUCGGUGACGAUCGAUCUGACGAGGAUAUGUUUGAAAAGAUUGAAGAUGCAAUAGACAGUGGUUUCCUUUCUUUCAAUAGUUCCGUUUUUGCCUGCACUGUUGGGCAGAAACCGAGUAAGGCAAAGUACUAUGUGGACGACACGACGGAGGUCAUAAACCUGCUUCAAUUUCUUGCCGAAGCCUCCGACCCUUCACCUGCAGAGGAUGCUUCAGAAAUCCCCAAUUAGGAUUGAUUCAGGGAUGUCUUCUUCUCCAUACACUUCAGGUCUCUUCAAGAUCCAUUUGUUUUUAUUUUGAAGUGGGGAGACAAUGGGAGCCAUAUUGUCCCGCUUUCUGUGUGACAAGCUAUUUGAACUAGAGGGAGUUGGGAUUUAGUGCAACUGAUGGUGGGAACUUAUGGCAAGUGGCUUCAAGUCGACUCCGCUUUUUCCUUUGGUAAGUGGACGUGUAGCUGCAAUUUCUGGAUUCACUCGGUUGACAUGGUUUAUGGCGAUGCAUCAUUGGAGGUCUUUUUGGCUUCCUAUUGGGAUUCCUACUUUUAUUGGGUUCACCAUUUUUAUGAAGCUUGAAGCUGCAAUUAUGGCUGCAACGUGAAGAUUAAGAGUGCGCCUGAAGAAGUUUGGUAGAGCUGCGACAUGCAAUCUAACAUGGCUCGGGUUUGACCUUCAAAUUCUUAACAAGACUCAGGUUAUCGAGUUCAGGAGCUACUGAAGUCAGCCAUGGCACGUCAGCUCAUGCCCUCGAUGUGGAGGGCCAAACCGAGAGGUUAAAGUUCACUCUUUAGGCAGAAGAGGUUGUAAGUGUGCGCAGCAAUGGAAGUUGGUAGAUGUUAAGCUUGUUAUAUGUGGGUUAUGGAGGUGCCUAAAUUAGCAUUAGCCAGCUUCACAGGGGCAAGGACCAUGACACAAGGGUUUUUCCAAGACUGUGCACUUACAGCCCUCUCAUGAGGGGCUCUCUUAUGUGAGGGGGCUGUCAUGCUUGGUGUAUAGUCACAACACAAACGAGUCAUCAUUUGUAAUAUACUCUUUAGGGGGCUGUCAAGUCGAAUAAAAUAUAUGUUAAUGAUUUUUAACUCUC